rnacentral:snRNA from 13 species
AUCGUCUACAAGCAUUUUUCUUGGAACAAGGUUGUCGAGUUUUUAGAACAGAGUCCAUAAGACACAGAGCUGUUGCAAAACAGUAAAUGGAUUUUCAAAAUGUAGACCAUAUAUUAAAAGGGAUUUUUGGAAUAGGGAGAUGGAAUAGGGGCUUGCUCCGUCCACUCCACGCAUCGACCUGGUAUUGCAGUACCUCUAGGAACGGUGCACCCCCU